AUUGAACGCUGGCGGCAGGCCUAACACAUGCAAGUCGAACGGUAACAGGAAGACGCUUGCUUCUUUGCUGACGAGUGGCGGACGGGUGAGUCAUGUCUGGGAAACUGCCUGAUGGAGGGGGAUAACUACUGGAAACGGUAGCUACUACCGCAUAACGUCGCAAGCCCAAAGAGGGGGACCUUCGGGCCUCUUGCCAUCGGAUGUGCCCAGAUGGGAUUAGCUAGUAGGUGGGGUAACGGCUCACCUAGGCGACGAUCCCUAGCUGGUCUGAGAGGAUGACCAGCCACACUGGAACUGAGACACGGUCCAGACUCCUACGGGAGGCAGCAGUGGGGAAUAUUGCACAAUGGGCGCAAGCCUGAUGCAGCCAUGCCGCGUGUAUGAAGAAGGCCUUCGGGUUGUAAAGUACUUUCAGCGGGGAGGAAGGGAGUAAAGUUAAUACCUUUGCUCAUUGACGUUACCCGCAGAAGAAGCACCGGCUAACUACGUG
rnacentral:rRNA from 1 species